UACAGAGGGUGCAAGCGUUGUUCGGAAUUAUUGGGCGUAAAGCGCGUGUAGGCGGCUUUGCAAGUCGGGUGUGAAAGCCCUCAGCUCAACUGAGGAAGUGCGCCCGAAACUGCAGAGCUUGAGUGCCGGAGAGGGUGGCGGAAUUCCCCAAGUAGAGGUGAAAUUCGUAAGAUAUGGGGAGGAACACCGGUGGCGAAGGCG
rnacentral:rRNA from 1 species